CCGGUGCGCCCCCGGCGGCCCAUGAAAAUCCGGAGGACCGAGUACCGUUCACGCCCGGUCGUACUCAUAACCGCAUCAGGUCUCCAAGACGAACAGCCUCUGGCCAAUGGAACAAUGUAGGCAAGGGAAGUCGGCAAAACGGAUCCGUAACUUCGGGAAAAGGAUUGGCUCUGAGGACUGGGCUCGGGGGUCCCGGCCCCGAACCCGUCGGCUG
rnacentral:ncRNA from 1 species